rnacentral:lncRNA from 1 species
UUUAAGCCUCUUGAUGAGCCCUUGGAGGAGAUGGAACAAAGCUGUGUGAUCUUUGAGUACUGGGAGACAGCUGUUAAUAUCUUUCGAAACAACCCAGGAUGCUAUACUGCUUGAGAGCAACACUGGGGCAUGAUCUUGAGAGGUCUCUAAAGCCUAAAAUGGUCUGUGUGCCCACUCAGUGGAGGGAGGACUAUGUAGCCUCCCAAACCUCUGCAAAAUGAGCUUCAGGGGAAGAUCACUAGAGGCAUUCCUCAAUUCAAAGAAGACAAAAGCUAGGCAGAAGUUACCUGUGGAGGGCAAGACUCCUCCCGCCGUUGAAUUUUUCAGCUCCUCAUCCCAAUAGCUGGCCUGGAACCAAGUCAGUUCCUAGAUCAAGGUAUGAGGUUUGCUGAUAUCUUGCUAGAUGAAAACUUCACUGCUAAAAACAACAGCAUAAAAUAUGACCCAAGGGGUGAGGAUCCAAGAUGGCCGAAUAGAAACAGCUCCAGAGUGCAGUUCACAGCAAGAACAGCACAGAGGUUUCCUCAUCUGUACAAUGAGAGACUUGAAAAUGCACUACUACGGACAUCAUCCCAUCGUCUGUCUAACUUCCAGAUAAAAAUCCAAACUGCUUAUGGAGACUCAAGAUGGCACAGUGAGAACAACCCAGGAUUGAAGCUCUCGGUGAAUGCGCAGAGAGGGUGGAGUUUGUUGCCUUUUCAAAGAAGAUUUUCCAACGAAGCAAUGCCAUGGAGAGUGUUCCCAGGUCAUUGUCACUAUCCCAUCUCUGGGCAUCUCAAGGGGUACUUUGAGCCCAAAGCCAGAAACUGUCCCUUGGAAAUUAGAGCACAAGUCCCUACAAUAUCAAAGCUCACAGCAAGAACUUACAGAGCUGAGCUGGCACCUGAGGGUGGGCUGCUGCUGCUCUUCCCAUCUCCCCACUCCAAGUAA